rnacentral:lncRNA from 1 species
UGACAGUCCUCCCUUGUGCAACUCUUUGUCCUGUCUCUUUGUUUUUCAUUUCAUUCUUCUCACACCCCACUCUGGUUACUGUUCAACAGGUAGGCUGGUCCUGACAGAUUUAUUACCAAUUUUCUAAGAAACUGCCGUAUUGAUCUCCAAAGUGACUGUACACAUUUGCACUCCCACCAGCAAAGGAGGUACGUUUCCCUUGCCACACAUCCUCUCCAGCAUAUGCUGUCAGUGUUUUUGAUCUUAGCCAUUUUGACCUGUGUAAGAUGGAAUCUCAGAGUCAUUUUAAUUUGCAUUUUCCUGGUGGCUAAGAAUAUUGAACAUUUCUUUAACUGUUUCCGUGGGGAAGGCACUCCUUUAUCUGGGCCACACCUUCUGCUGGAAGCCUAUGUAAGGACAAUGGAAGAAGGGAGAGUGUGUUCUUCCUUUGCCUGCUUUGUCAGCACCUUCACUGACAUUGGAGCCUACUUCUCCGAGAUUCCAGCAUUACAAAAGUGGAACUGAGCAACUACUAGACUCUUGAACUUUCCAUUCACAGAUAGCUAUUGUUGGACUACAGCCUCUGCAGUUAUUUUAUCCUAAGCAAUCCUACUUUCUGCACCAUCACUCUAGUCAUAAGACUCAGUGGACCCAGCAAUAAUCAUAGUGAAAGGAAGCAGUACCUUCAAAAUAAUAAGAUUCCAGUUACCAACCAAUGUCCCAAAGCCCCAUGUCACCUGCUAUUGUUGUUCUGAUGCCUUCUUCUCACUUCUCACCUAAGAGACAAUGAAGACAUCCAACUCCACGGCCCAGCAUGGACUGAGACAACUUAGAGUGCCCUCUUUGAAGAGAAGUAGCCUUGACCUACUUGGAGUUGCUUUUGCUAGGAAUCCACACCCAUCACCACCAGUAUCUUAACCAGUUGGUGACCCAAUUAUCACAGUGAGGCUGCUGGAAGGAGAAACCAGAUGACAGGAGAUGCAAGCAAAUUGUCUAAGCACUCUGGCUCAGGAAAUGAAAUUGCUUGCGGAGCUGAAGAGAUGGCUCAGGAGGAAAGGCCAUGUGUCACCAAGCCAAGUGACCUGAGUUCAAUCCCUGCAACUUACACGGUAUAGAGAGAAAACCAAUUGUGGCGAGUUGUCCUCUGGUCUCCACAAAUGUUUUAUGAUGCAUGUGCAUACACACAGAGAGAGAAAAAUAAAAUGUAAAAAAUAAAAAGAACUUUCUUGUGAUGACCUUGUGCCCAUAACUUAUUUGUUUUUAUUUUAUGAAAGUAUGUGCUUAAGGUGUCAAGAC